AGCGAACGCUGGCGGCAGGCCUAACACAUGCAAGUCGAACGAAGUCUUCGGACUUAGUGGCGGACGGGUGAGUAACACGUGGGAACGCGCCUUUAGGUUCGGAAUAACUCAGGGAAACUUGUGCUAAUACCGAAUGUGCCCUUCGGGGGAAAGAUUUAUCCCCUUUAGAGCGGCCCGCGUCUGAUUAGCUAGUUGGUGGGGUAAUGGCCCACCAAGGCUACGAUCAGUAGCUGGUCUGAGAGGAUGACCAGCCACAUUGGGACUGAGACACGGCCCAAACUCCUACGGGAGGCAGCAGUGGGGAAUCUUGCGCAAUGGGCGAAAGCCUGACGCAGCCAUGCCGCGUGGAUGAUGAAGGUCUUAGGAUUGUAAAAUCCUUUCACCGGUGAAGAUAAUGACUGUAGCCGGAGAAGAAGCCCCGGCUAACUUCGUGCCAGCAGCCGCAGUAAAAC
rnacentral:rRNA from 1 species